UAAAGUGGGAUUAGAUACCCCACUAUGCUUAGCCCUAAACAUAAAUAUUCAAUUAACAAGAAUAUUCGCCAGAGAACUACUAGCCACUGCUUAAAACUCAAAGGACUUGGCGGUGCUUUAUACCCCUCUAGAGGAGCCUGUUCUAUAAUCGAUAAACCCCGUUAAACCUCACCACUCUUUGCAACAUCAGCCUAUAUACCGCCAUCUUCAGCAAACCCUAAUAAGGCACCAUAGUAAGCACAAUAAUCUUACAUAAAAACGUUAGGUCAAGGUGUAGCCCAUAGAGUGGGAAGAAAUGGGCUACAUUUUCUAACGCUCUAGAAUAUUUCACGAUAGCUGCUAUGAAAUAUGAUCAGCUCAAGGCGGAUUUAGUAGUAAGUCGGGAAUAGAGUGCCCAGCUGAAUCGGGCAAUAAAGCACGCACACACCG
rnacentral:rRNA from 1 species